rnacentral:rRNA from 1 species
UACGUAGGGUGCAAGCGUUGUCCGGAAUUAUUGGGCGUAAAGAGCUCGUAGGCGGUUUGUCGCGUCUGCUGUGAAAACCCGAGGCUCAACCUCGGGCCUGCAGUGGGUACGGGCAGACUAGAGUGCGGUAGGGGAGAAUGGAAUUCCUGGUGUAGCGGUGGAAUGCGCAGAUAUCAGGAGGAACACCGAUGGCGAAGGCAGUUCUCUGGGCCGUAACUGACGCUGAGGAGCGAAAAGCGUGGGGAGCGAACAGG